UCUACGGAGAGUUUGAUCCUGGCUCAGGACGAACGCUGGCGGCGCGCCUAACACAUGCAAGUCGAACGGUGAACCGGGCUUCGGCCCGGGGAUCAGUGGCGAACGGGUGCGUACCACGUGGGCAACCUGCCCCCGACCCUGGGAUAACCCCGGGAAACCGGAGCUAAUACCGGAUACUCUCCUCCGAUCGCAUGACCGGAGGAGGAAAGGUCCGCCGGUCGGGGAUGGGCCCGCGGCCUAUCAGCUUGUUGGUGGGGUAA
rnacentral:rRNA from 1 species